UAGUUGUGGACCUUUUGCGUAUAAAACC
rnacentral:sRNA from 1 species